UAACUAAUUGGAGAAGACUGUUCCACAGAGCCCUCCUCUCGAUCAGCCUCUUCAACAUUUCUGCAGCAAGCACUGCUGCUUCACCUGGAUGCUGGAAUCUCAUCAGGGGAUGGCACUCCUCACAGGAGACUUCCAAAAACCUGGAAGGGACAAGGAGCAAGUCAUUAAGGAACCUCUACCUGUUUAAUUCAUCAGUGCUCUGCACAGCUGCAUUCUAUUCUAGCAUGCCCUAAAUGCCUUGCUGUUUGCUUUGAAGUUGGUUAAUCUGGUUUGGCUUUAUCUUAUCUUUUUUAGGAGGCAGUUUCAGAAUUAAAAGCUUGUGACUGACAGUGUUCUGCUUUCUGGUCUCCUGAGCUUUAUCCUAAACCUUUAUAGCUGUAAUUGUCUCAGAAGAGUGUAGCUUGCCUCAGGUGUAGCUUCCAUCUCCCGGUGCCUGCAGAGUUAAAGCUCUGCCUUUGGAGCACAGAGAAGAGCAACUGAGAGCUGGAUCGUGUUCCAAGGGAAAAAAAAAUCAAUAUAUUAUGCACAAGAUGUCUCCAAAUUCAGCACCUUCUAAUUAGUCCAGGAGCCAGCACCCCUCUGUCAACAGCAGAAUCCAAGUCUUGUUGCGGAGGUUGUUCCUUCUGUGUGGUUUAGCCUUAUUUUGGUCCCUGUGCUUUGAUUCCCAUCACAUCAGGGAUGUUAAUAGAGUGAAGUGCUGAGGGGGACCCCAGAGAGGGUCAGGGAGAGGAGCAGGCGAAUCAGUGGGAGCAAAGGAUCUGUGUGGAGCUGGAAAAGCUCUCGAGAAAUGCCUGCAGCCCAACAGGCAACUCAGAGAGAGAUGCUGGAGAGCCUUUGGCCUGCCAAGUUUGAUGUGUGCCUUCAUCCUCAUACUUAUCUGUCCCAUAAUACUCCAUUCCAGACCUGGCAGUAUCAGCACAUACUGGAUUUAUUGCUAGGGAAGGAAAGAAGUUGCCAUGACUACUCACCGAGUAAUACUCCAUUAUGCGCAAAGGAGACACUGACUGCCCCCAUGUCAGAGAAUUGCUGAGAACCAGACCCAGAGAGGGUUGCCAAAUUCUCCACUGAAUGCCAGAGGAAGAAGGACUCAUUUUCAGGUCCUUUAUGGUGUGAUGUUGUGGCACAUCUCUAAGAUGUGAAGGACCAGAGACUUCUGAGCUGGUGGGAAGUGGAAUGUUCUCAGCUGGAAUCCUUCAGUGCAAGCAGUGACCACCCAGCAAGGAAAUCAACUCUGAAUCCUGGAAGGAGGAAGAGGAGAUAGUUCUGAAUCAGAGAAUAUCCUGAGUUGGAAGGGACACACAAGGAUCAUGAGUCUGACUGCUGGUCCUGCACAGACACCCCAACAAUCCCA